CGGAGUGUCGAAUACGGUCGCUGAGCUUUGCUAGAUUUCGUUCGUGGUGUAUGUCAUCCCGUCGAUGCUAUGCGCCCGGACCGGAAAACCUCGGUUCCUAUAACCGGAAGUAGGCGCUGCGGAGGCAGCACCACCGUACGGAAAGUGUUUACGCUGCUCACGUAACGUAAAAAUAUGACAGAAAAUAGGUAUGAGCGGUGAUCAGGAGAUGGCGCGUGAAUCAAAUACAUUCAUAAGGCGGCUGACAGCACUUCUAACACCGUGCUGACAGUCAACUUGCUUCGGCAAGUUCUACGUCACGACUCAUUUCGGCCAUUACACGAGCACUGACCCUGACAAUCUCCAGUGCACGCUCCAGUCGAAGCUCAAGCUGGCUCAAUGAACGUGAUGCCUCCACCCCGCCCCGACUACUCGAUACAUUCUGGUACACGUGGUAAAUUCUUUUCGAAUACUUUGUCGUCGACUGUUUACUAUCAACAUGAAAUUGAAGCAAAAAUUAUAUUUUUCAUCCUAUCCACAGUGCAUAUGACAUAAUGUAGGACAGCACGCAGUCAUGCAGUCAACC